CCUACGGGAGGCAGCAGUGAGGAAUAUUGGUCAAUGGCCGGGAGGCUGAACCAGCCAAGUCGCGUGAGGGAAGACGGCCCUACGGGUUGUAAACCUCUUUUGUCAGGGAGCAAGGUGCAGGUCGGGACCUGCUGUGAGAGUACCUGAAGAAAAAGCAUCGGCUAACUCCGUGCCAGCAGCCGCGGUAAUACGGAGGAUGCGAGCGUUAUCCGGAUUUAUUGGGUUUAAAGGGUGCGCAGGCGGAGGCACAAGUCAGCGGUAAAAUCGCGGGGCUCAACCCCGCUACGCCGUUGAAACUGUGGCCCUUGAGUGCGCGAAGGGUAGGCGGAAUGCGUGGUGUAGCGGUGAAAUGCAUAGAUAUCACGCAGAACUCCGAUCGCGAAGGCAGCCUACCGGCGCGCAACUGACGCUCAUGCACGAAAGCGUGGGUAUCGAACAGGAUUAGAUACCCUAGUAGUC
rnacentral:rRNA from 1 species